rnacentral:rRNA from 1 species
UACGUCGGGACCGAGCGUUGUCCGGAAUCAUUGGGCGUAAAGAGCGUGUAGGCGGCUUGCUAAGUCUUGCGUGAAAUCUCGGGGCUCAACCCCGAGCGGUCGUGGGAAACUGGCAGGCUAGAGUGCGGGAGAGGAGAAUGGAAUUCCUGGUGUAGCGGUGAAAUGCGCAGAUAUCAGGAAGAACACCCGUGGCGAAGGCGGUUCUCUGGGACGGUACUGACGCUGAGACGCGAAAGCGUGGGGAGCGAACAGG